AUCUAUAGCCAUGCUACCCUGAACAAGUCCGAUCCUGUCUGAUCUCAGAAGCUAAGCAGGGUCGGGGCUGGUUAGUAAUUGGAUGGGAGACCACCUUGGAAGACCAGGUGCUGUAGGUG
rnacentral:rRNA from 1 species